rnacentral:rRNA from 1 species
UACAGAGGCCCCAAGCGUUACUGAGAAUCACUGGGUUUAAAGGGUGCGUAGGUGGCGCGUUAAGUCCGUUGUGAAAUCCCUUGGCUCAACCAAGGAAUGGCUUCGGAUACUGGCGUGCUUGAGGCCGGUAAGGGUCACUGGAACUGACGGUGGAGCGGUGAAAAUGCGUAGAUAUCGUCAGGAACGCCAAUGGUGAAGACAGGUGACUGGGCCGGUACUGACACUGAGGCACGAAAGCGUGGGGAGCAAACAGGG